AAAAAAAAUAAAAAAAAUCAUUUAACAAACUUUAAUUGUUUAACAACUCGCAAUUAAAACAUGUAUCGUUUGGUUUUUUUAGCAGUCCACUACCGCCAAUGCCGCCACCACCACCACCACCACUUCCGCCACUACAACCGACACUGCCAACACUACUGAGGACAAUGUGACCAGUACAGACUUGAACACGAGAAAACCCUUGCCGAGAUUACCAAACACAUCGACAACGGGCGAGCCGACGACGGUCACAGACGUACCGACACCCUCAGAUCCCUCGACAGCUGUAGUUGUGAUAGUGGUGAUUUCAUCCGGGACUUUCUUCGUGGUCAUUGUCAUUGUCAUGAUGAAGAAAAGGAAGAGACGGGAAGUGACGUCAGAAAUAGGAAUGUCAACUUUGACCAGUGCAUUUUCUGUAUUGAGCCUUGAUUCAGAGUCGGAAGUCGUUUUCUCGGGGUCAACGACGAGGAGAAGACAUUCCAAGGAUGACUGAGAGAGAGGGGAAAACUGUUUGAUCAUUUUGUUUUAUUUACCUGAACAAUUAAAACAAAAACAAAAAUUGUUAAUCAGACAUGUUGUUGAUU